UAAUACGGGGGGCGCAAGCGUUGUUCGGAAUUACUGGGCGUAAAGGGCAGGUAGGUGGUUUGUUAAGUCGUUUGUGAAAAUCCGGGGCUCAACCCCGCGAAAUGCAGGCGAAACUGGCAGACUAGAGACCGGUAGAGGCUAGUGGAAUUCCUGGUGUAGCGGUGGAAUGCGUAGAUAUCAGGAAGAACACCAGUGGCGAAGGCGGCUAGCUGGGCCGGGUCUGACACUGAACUGCGAAAGCGUGGGGAGCAAACAGCAUUAGAUACCCUGGUAGUCCACGCCGUAAACGAUGGGCACUAGAUGCCGGGCAUAGAGACGUGUUCGACGUCGUAGCUAACGCAUUAAGUGCCCCGCCUGGGGAGUACGGUCGCAAGGCUG
rnacentral:rRNA from 1 species